rnacentral:rRNA from 1 species
GACGAACGCUGGCGGCGUGCUUAACACAUGCAAGUCGAACGGAAAGGCCCUGCUUGCAGGGUGCUCGCGUGGCGAACGGGUGUGUAACACGUGGGUGAUCUGCCCCUUACUUUGGGAUAAGCCUGGGAAACUGGGUCUAAUACUGGAUAGGACCAUGCUGUAGGUGGUGUGGUGGAAAGAUUAGUUUCGGUAAGGGAUGAGCUCGCGGCCUAUCAGCUUGUUGGUGGGGUAUUGGCCUACCAAGGCGUCGACGGGUAGCCGGCCGGAGCGGGUGGACGGCCACAUUGGGACUGAGAUACGGCCCAGACUCCUACGGGAGGCAGCAGUGGGGAAUAUUGCACAAUGAGCGCAAGCCUGAUGCAGCGACGCCGCGUGGGGGAUGACGGCCUUCGGGUUGUAAACUCCUUUCAGCCAUGACGAAGCCCUGGUGGUGACGGUAGUGGUAGAAGAAGCACCGGCUAACUACGUG